rnacentral:rRNA from 1 species
GACCAAGCUACAAAGGGCACACGAUGGAUGCCUAGGCGACAGGAGGCGAAGAAGGACGUGGGUAGCUGCGAAAAGCGUCGGGGAGCCGCUAACCAGGCUUUGAUCCGGCGAUGUCCGAAUGGGGAAACCCACGGCGGGUAAUGCCGCCGUACCACGAGCUGAAUCCAUAGGCUCGAUGGAGCGAACCGAGGGAAGUGAAACAUCUCAGUACCUCGAGGAAAAGAAAGCAAACGCGAUUCCGCGAGUAGUGGCGAGCGAAAGCGGAACAGGCCAAACCGCCGGAGGAAACUCCGUCGGGGUAGUGGGACCGCAUUUAGGACCAGUCCUCUGUAGACGAGCCGUCUGGAAAGGCGGGCCACAGAGGGUGAGAGCCCCGUAGUCGAAACGGGGGACUGGCCGAGCGGUAAUCCCAAGUAAGGCGGGACACGUGCAAUCCUGCCUGAAUCUGCGGGGACCAUCCCGUAAGCCUGAAUACUCCCUGUCGACCGAUAGUGAACCAGUACCGCGAGGGAAAGGUGAAAAGAACCCCGGUGAGGGGAGUCCAAAGAACCUGAAAUCGUGUGCCUACAAGCAGGGAGAGGGCUAUGCCCGCAAGGGAAUGCCUGAUUCCGUACCUUUUGCAUCAUGAAUCGGCGACUUAAUGUACGUGGCGAGGUUAAGCCGUGAAGGCGGAGCCGCAGCGAAAGCGAGUCUGAACAGGGCGACGAGUCGCGUGCAUUAUAACCCGAAGCCAGGUGAUCUAUCCAUGGCCAGGCUGAAGCGUGGGUAAAACUACGUGGAGGGCCGAACUAAAUGGAGGUUGAAAACUCCUGAGAUGAGCUGUGGAUAGGGGUGAAAGGCCAAUCAAACCUGGUGAUAGCUGGUUCUCCCCGAAAGAUAUUUAGGUAUCGCCUGAGGAAACUCUGUUGCGGAGGUAGAGCACUGGAACGGCUAGGGGUCCUACCAGAUUACCAAACCGUACCAAACUCCGAAUACCGCAAACAGUUACCCUCGGAGGCAGUGCACGGGUGAUAACAUCCGCGCGCGAGAGGGAUACACCCCAGACCGACAGCCAAGGUCCCAAAGUCGAUGCUAAGUGGGAAAGGAUGUGGCAGGGCUCAGACAACUAGGAGGUUGGCUUAGAAGCAGCCAUCCUUUGAAGAAAGCGUAAUAGCUCACUAGUCAAGCCAGGCCGCGCCGAAAAUGAAACGGGGCUCAAGCAUCGUACCGAAGCUUCGGAUUGCUCGACCUCUUCGGAGGUGGAGCAGUGGUAGGGGAGCAUCGCAGCGCCGUCGAAGCCAUACCGGAAGGAGUGGUGGAGGUUCUGCGAGAGCUGAUGCCGAUAUGAGUAGCGUUAAAACGGGUGAGAAACCCGUUCGCCGUAAGCCCAAGGUUUCCCGGGGGAGGUUAAUCCGCCCGGGGUUAGUCGGGCCCUAAGCCGAGGCCGAAAGGCGUAGGCGAUGGAGAACAGGUUAAUAUUCCUGUACCACCUCAUGGCGUCGAAGCCGGGGGGACGGAGAAAGCUAGGUUGGCCUCCUGACGGACAUGGAGGUUCAAGGGCGUAGGCUGCCCCCGAGGAAAGUGCAACUUGGGGGCACAAGGCCGAGACCCGACGUCGUGGCCGUAUGGCCUGAAGCAACCGACGCUCAGCUUCCAAGAAAAUCCCCGCAUUCAGUGGAGCCAUGUGGUGCCCGUACCGCAAACCGACUCAGGUGGGCGAGGAGAAAAUCCUCAGGCGCUUGAGAGAACUCUGGCCAAGGAACUCGGCAAAUUUCCACCGUAACUUCGGAAGAAGGUGGGCCGCGUUUGGUGAAGGGACUUGCUCCCGGAGCCUUACACGGUCGCAGAGAAACGGCGGUAGCGACUGUUUACCAAAAACACAGGACUCUGCUAACUCGAAAGAGGAAGUAUAGGGUCUGACGCCUGCCCGGUGCCGGAAGGUUAAGGGGAUUCGUCAGGGGGGUUAAACCCCCGAAGCGAUGAGCCGAAGCCCCGGUAAACGGCGGCCGUAACUAUAGACAUGGACCACUGUAGUUGUAAAAUCUGGCUAUAUGCUGGAACACCCGGUUGAAGCGAGAGUACUCGUCGCUGGGCGCGUAGUUGGCGCCGAAGAAGGCGGCAGUGAAAAUCUCCCGCGGACGGGCAAUCAGCAGGAAAGGUCUCGAACAUGCUUCAAGUUCGAGAAAUCCUCAGAGACUGCACGCCAGACCGUUCCGGAUGCGGAACGGAUGAUACAGUCCGAUCUGCAUGGCAACAUGCAGAGCGCGGCAGAAAUGACCGCGCCCGGCGAGAAAUCGUCGAGCAACAACGAUGAACGGUCCUAAGGUAGCGAAAUUCCUUGUCGGGUAAGUUCCGACCUGCACGAAUGGCGUAACGACUUCCGCACUGUCUCGGCCAGGGACUCAGCGAAAUUGAAAUAGCUGUGAAGAUGCAGUUUACCCGCAGCAAGACGGAAAGACCCCGUGAACCUUUACUCUAACUUGCCAGUGACACUAGGACUUGAUUGUGUAGGAUAGGUGGGAGCCUUUGAAGCCUGGGCGCUAGCUCAGGUGGAGGCAACGGUGAAAUACCACCCUGUUGAGUCUUGGUGUCUAACCUGGUCCCGUGAUCCGGGACGGGGACACUGGCUGGUGGGGAGUUUGACUGGGGCGGUCGCCUCCCAAAAUGUAACGGAGGCGCGCGAAGGUUCCCUCAGGCUGAUUGGAAACCAGCCGACGAGUGCAAUGGCACAAGGGAGCUUGACUGCGAGACCGACGGGUCGAGCAGGUGGGAAACCAGGUCAUAGUGAUCCGGUGGUUCUGUAUGGAAGGGCCAUCGCUCAACGGAUAAAAGGUACUCCGGGGAUAACAGGCUUAUCACGCCCAAGAGUUCACAUCGACGGCGUGGUUUGGCACCUCGAUGUCGGCUCAUCGCAUCCUGGGGCUGGAGCAGGUCCCAAGGGUUUGGCUGUUCGCCAAUUAAAGCGGUACGCGAGCUGGGUUCAAAACGUCGUGAGACAGUUUGGUCCCUAUCUGCUGUGGGCGUAGGAGGCUUGAGGGGUCCCGACCUUAGUACGAGAGGACCGGGUUGGACGGACCGCCUGUGUACCAGUUGUCACGCCAGUGGCACCGCUGGGUAGCAGUGUCCGGAUCUGAUAACCGCUGAAAGCAUCUAAGCGGGAAGCAGACCUCAAGACUAGGCCUCCCGGGGCGUAAGCCCCCUGAAGAGCCGUCGAAGACGACGACGUUGAUAGGUCGGAGGUGUAAGCGCGGCAACGCGUUGAGCUGACCGAUACUAAUCGCUCGUGCGGCUUGGUCGU